GGGCAGGUGGCGAAACUGGUAGACGCACUACCUUGAGGGGGUAGCGACAGCAAUGUUGUGGAGGUUCGAGUCCUCUCCUGCCCA
rnacentral:tRNA from 1 species